GGAUUAAGAGCUUGCUCUUAUGAAGUUAGCGGCGGACGGGGGAGUAACACGUGGGUAACCUGCCCAUAAGACUGGGAAACUCCGGGAAACCGGGGCUAAUACCGGAUAACAUUUUGAACCGCAUGGUUCGAAAUUGAAAGGCGGCUUCGGCUGUCACUUAUGGAUGGACCCGCGUCGCAUUAGCUAGUUGGUGAGGUAACGGCUCACCAAGGCAACGAUGCGUAGCCGACCUGAGAGGGUGAUCGGCCACACUGGGACUGAGACACGGCCCAGACUCCUACGGGAGGCAGCAGUAGGGAAUCUUCCGCAAUGGACGAAAGUCUGACGGAGCAACGCCGCGUGAGUGAUGAAGGCUUUCGGGUCGUAAAACUCUGUUGUUAGGGAAGAACAAGUGCUAGUUGAAUAAGCUGGCACCUUGACGGUACCUAACCCGAAAGCCACCGCUAACUACGUGCCCCAGCCGCGGAAUACGUAGGUGGCAAGCGUUAUCCGGAAUUAUUGGGCGUAAAGCGCGCGCAGGUGGGUUCUUAAGUCUGUUGUGAAACCCACC
rnacentral:rRNA from 1 species